rnacentral:rRNA from 1 species
UACGGGGGGGGCAAGCGUUGUUCGGAAUUACUGGGCGUAAAGGGCUUGUAGGUGGCCAACUAAGUCAGACGUGAAAUCCCUCGGCUUAACCGGGGAACUGCGUCUGAUACUGGAUGGCUUGAGUGUGGGAGAGGGAUGCGGAAUUCCAGGUGUAGCGGUGAAAUGCGUAGAUAUCUGGAGGAACACCGGUGGCGAAGGCGGCAUCCUGAACCAUUACUGACACUGAAAAGCGAAAGCCAGGGGAGCAAACGGG